UAAACAAUAAAAAAAAAGUGUAUGGAGGUUUUGCUGGCAUUUGUGUCUGUGUACCAUAUGUGCAGUGCCCAAAUAGACCAGAGAAGAGGGCACGGGAUCCCCGGAACUGAUGUUACAAGGGGUUGCGAGCGUGGGUGCUGAGAAUAGGAGCUGGGUUUUUGGGAAGAGCUGCCAGUCCUUCAGCCUUAUGGUGAUGUUGUUUGGAUAUCUCCACAGGUGACACUUUGUACUGUCUGGAGACGUUUGAUGCUGUCACAACUGGCGGAGGGGACCAGCGUUACUGCUGUUAACUGGAAUGUGACAACACAAAGAACAGCCUCUCAACCCCACAGAAUUACCUUGUUCAAAGCAUCACUUCUGAGCUUCAGAAGCUUUAGUCGAAGCGUGGACCAGGUCUUCACGGCUGUGGGUCCGGGCUCAGUCCCAUAAGAUGGAAGGCUAGCAAGUGGCAGAGAAGUCAGAAGGAAACAAUACAGAGUCAGUGGGCUCUGGGACACUGCACGUCCCAUGAACUCAGAAAGUGCCCUGGGCCUUCCACUCUUCAGUCUUCUGGGAAGAAGUCAUCUCUACUGGCAUUACAGACUCCUAGAGAAGAAAACAUUUUAAAAAGAAAGAAAAAUUAAAAGCAAAAAAAAAAAAAAAAAAAGUGAAAAAGCAAAACGAAUUAAAAAAAAAAUAAUGGCAAGGAACAUAGCUCCAUGGUAG
rnacentral:lncRNA from 1 species